rnacentral:rRNA from 1 species
GGGAUUGCCUCAGUAACGGCGUGAAGCGCCACCAGAAAUUUGAAAUCUGGCUCCGGGGUUCCGAAUUGUAAUUUGUAGAGAGUGUGGGGGAGACCGCGGUCUAAGUCCAUUGGAACAUGGUGUCAGAGAGGGUGAGAGUCCCGUAUGCGACCGUGGAUCGAACCCAUGUGAAGCCUCUUCGACGAGUCGAGUUGUUUGGGAAUGCAGCUCAAAAUGGGUGGUAAAUUUCAUCUAAAGCUAAAUACUGGCUGGAGACCGAUAGCGCACAAGUAGAGUGAUCGAAAGAUGAAAAGCACUUUGGAAAGAGAGUUAAACAGUACGUGAAAUUGUUGAAAGGGAAGCGCUUGCAACCAGACCUGCCCGUAGGCGAUCAGCCGCUGUUCUCAGCGGUGCACUCGCUCUGCGAUCAGGCCAGCAUCGGUUUCGGCGGUCGGAUAAAGGCCGUGGGAAUGUAGCUUCUCUUCGGGGGAGUCUUAUAGCCCUCGGUGCAAUGCGGCCAGCCGGGACCGAGGCCCGCGCUUCGGCUAGGAUGCUGGCGUAAUGGUUGUCAGCGACCCGUCUUGAAACACGGACCAAGGAGUCUAACAUCUAUGCGAGUGUUUGGGUGUCAAACCCAUGCGCGGAAUGAAAGUGAACGGAGGUGAGAACCCUUUAGGGCGCAUCAUCGACCGAUCCAGAUGUCUUCGGAUGGAUUUGAGUAUGAGCAUAGCUGUUGGGACCCAGAUGGUGAACUAUGCCUGAAUAGGGUAAGCCAGAGGAAACUCUGGUGGAGGCUCGCAGCGGUUCUGAGCAAAUCGAUCGUCAAAUUUGGGUAUAGGGGCGAAAGACUAAUCG